AGGACAUGUAGCCUAGUGGUUGCAGUUACCUGAGUAGCAUCUAAGGUCCUGGGUUCAAAUCUCCAUAGGAGCAUGAAUUGGGUAUUUGAGGGGUUAAGUCUCUACUUAGGCUAAGUUCUCAAAGUUUUGGAUAUUUGAGUGCUAAGUCUCUACUUAGGCUAAGUCCUCAAAGUUCUCGAAAUAAAAAAAUGACCGCAUAUAGGGUAAAAGUACCCUUCUCUAAAAAAAAUAUUCUUUUUGCAAUGAUUCCGCA
rnacentral:lncRNA from 1 species